rnacentral:rRNA from 1 species
UACAGAGGGGGCAAGCGUUGUUCGGAAUUACUGGGCGUAAAGCGCGCGUAGGCGGCUUUUCAAGUCGAUUGUGAAAUCCCCGGGCUUAACCUGGGAACUGCAGUCGAGACUGUCUAGCUAGAGUAUGGGAGAGGGAAGUGGAAUUUCAGGUGUAGCGGUGAAAUGCGUAGAUAUCUGAAGGAACAUCAGUGGCGAAAGCGACUUCCUGGACCAAUACUGACGCUCAUGUGCGAAAGCGUGGGGAGCAAACAGGG